GUUGGUGGGUCGCCAUCGACGGGGCAAACGCGGGAAUUUCGAUUUUCGAGGAACGAGACGACGAGGAAAAACGGAACGGAAUCGGUGACGCGAUAAUACCCAACAGCAUGGACGAUCUGACGAUGGUGAAAAUGAGAAACGAAAACUAGGGAGGACUUUUGAGGAGCGAUCGAGUUUUUUUGUCGAGGAGGGAGGAGGGUAACGAUAAUCGAGGGAGAAGUAGGAGGGGGUGCGGGGAAAUAGGUUUGACGCGAAGGCAACGCACUUGAGAAGGGGUUGAAGGGGAGAGAAGGUUUUUAGAUUGACGCGAGAGAGUGAGAUGAGGAGGGGGUAUGCGCGAGUAUCGAGCAAUUGCGAGAGAGGACACGUACACCCACACGACGAUACAUAUCUCAAAGAAUAAUAACUAAACGUAAGAGAGAUUAAGUAGAAGUUAGUAGAUGACAGAGUAAUAACGGAAUCUAGUGAGCGAAGAUUAAGAGAAAAGAAAAAAAAUCAGUGAAAAAUAGGUUAAUGCAGAUGAUUAAAUUAAUAUUUACAGGUAUAUCGAAACGUAUAUAUACAUAUAUAUAUAUAUAUAAUAUAUAUUAUAGAAUCAGA